AACGAACGCUGGCGGCAUGCCUAACACAUGCAAGUCGAACGAGACCUUCGGGUCUAGUGGCGCACGGGUGCGUAACGCGUGGGAACCUGCCCUUAGGUUCGGAAUAACUCCCCGAAAGGGGUGCUAAUACCGGAUAAUUUCUUCGGACCAAAGAUUUAUCGCCUUUGGAUGGGCCCGCGUUGGAUUAGCUGGUUGGUAGGGUAAAAGCCUACCAAGGCGACGAUCCAUAGCUGGUCUGAGAGGAUGAUCCGCCACACUGGGACUGAGACACGGCCCAGACUCCUACGGGAGGCAGCAGUGGGGAAUAUUGGACAAUGGGCGAAAGCCUGAUCCAGCAAUGCCGCGUGAGUGAUGAAGGCCUUAGGGUUGUAAAGCUCUUUUACCCGGGAUGAUAAUGACAGUACCGGGAGAAUAAGCUCCGGCUAACUCCGUG
rnacentral:rRNA from 1 species